ensembl:lncRNA
UUCCUGAAUGGCAAAGCAGCUAAAAAUAUAGAAGCUUCACCAGACUGGUAAAGCAUCUGUCUACAAUGCAGGAGACCCGGGUUCGAUCCNNNNNNNNNNNNNNNNNNNNNNNNNNNNNNNNNNNNNNNNNNNNNNNNNNNNNNNNNNNNNNNNNNNNNNNNNNNNNNNNNNNNNNNNNNNUACAGUCCAUGGGGUCAAAAAGAGUCGGACACGACUGAGCGACUUCACUUACUUACUUACUUACCAGACACAAGAAGAUAAAUACUGUAUAAUUCCGCUUACAUGAGGUAUCUAGAGUGGCCAAAAUCAUGGAUAAAGAAAGUAGAAUGGUGAUAGAUUCAAUUCUGCAAAAUGAAAAAUUCUAGAGAUGUAUUACCUGACAAUGUAAUACAGUGAACACGAUUGAACUGCACACUAAAAACUGGCCAAGAAGGUAAAUUUUAUAUUAUGUAUAUACAUAUUUUUACCACAAUGAUCAAAAAACAGACUUCAUGACUUAACAAUGAUUUGGGGAAUUCCCAUGCAGUCCAGUGAUUUGGACUCAGCAUUUUCACAGCAGAGGGUGCCCAUGGAGGUGUGGGUUCAGUCUCUGGUGGGGGAAUGAAGAUGGCUCGUAUUUGCUUUUCAUGAACCCACCCUCCAUAUCCUUCCAGUCCUAGGUGCAACUAACUCUGUCGCUUGGAGAAACGGUUCCUGUGUGGCCUCCAAGAAUUGCACAUCUGACAACUCCGUCUCCGCCUUGACCUACAGCAUUGGUUUUGGCUUCUGGGUCAACACCACCUGUUGCCAAGGCAACUGCCAAGAGCCCAGUCCUCUCGCUGCCCUGCCAGCCUCAAGCGCCCUGAGUGAGUUCCUGUGCCCUACAUGUCCUGGGGGCCACUCGGGGCCCUGCAGCCCCUCCUUCUACAUGCAGUGUCCCAGCAGGGAGACGGAGUGUAUCCACGGGAACCUGGUGUCUGAAGCAGGCGGCCGGAACCUGAGCGUGCGCGGCUGCGGCACCCGCGACCUGUGCCAGGAAGAGGGCUUCCCGGCGCUCCCGGGCCACCGGCUGGCCGGCCCGCCCGUCUGCAACGCCAGGCAACGUGCCAUCCUGGACCCCAAGUGCCACUCGGGCGCGGCGCUUGGCCUCCGCCUCGCCCUGCCGGUGCUGACCAUCGCACUGGGCACCGCGACCCUCUCCUGAGCCAGCCCGCCUGCACCCCCGACCCCGGCCCCGAAGCCUCCCUGCUUGUUCCGCCAGAUGGUGCCCCCCUACCAGGGCAUUUCUAGGGGGUUGGAAGCUUCCAGUGAGAAAGUAAAAAAAGUAGGGGUGAGCCUCCUCCCUCAGACUAAGAGAUUCCCCAAAGCUAGUCCUCUUUCUUUACGCUGGGACCCCAAAGGCUGCGCUUCUUCCCUCGGACUAGGGCUUCCUCAAGUCUGGUCCUCUUUCCUCACCAAGGGCUUCAAGGGCUGUGCCUCCUUCCUCAGACUAGGCUGUUUUUCCUCCUAGGAUGAGAGAUGCUUCUAAGAUUACACAUUCUCCUUCGUACUGGGGGGCCCAAAGACUAAAUAAACAUCCUUCCUCAAACUAGGAGGUUCCCAAUACCAGGCUACUCCCUCAGACUGUAUCUCUUCUCAAGAACAUUAGAGAGCAGCUCCUCCUUCUCUUCCCCUCUUCAGGGUCUAGCAAGGUCCUGGCAGCCAAGCUGGGGCUUGAGGACAAAAUACACCCGCUCCUCAGGCUUUCAGAGCAGCCCGUUCCAGCCCCACCAUGGGCCCUCUUCAGUCCCGUUGUUCAGUUGCUAAGUCGUGUCCAAUGCUUUGCAACUCCAUGGACUUCAGCAGGCCAGGCUCCCCUGUCCCCCACCAUCUCCCAGAGUUUGCUCAAAUCCCUUCCAGUAAACAUUCAGAGUUGAUUUCCUUUAGGACUGACGGGUUUGAUCCUAGCUGUCACCAAAGCUGAAUGAAUCGCGUUGCACAGUGCCUAGUGGUUUGGACCUCCUUUUGCUAACAUUGCAGCCUCAAGUGGGCCCCCUGAUGUGGUCUCUAUACCCUGGGGAUUCAGAUGGCAAGGUCUGGGAGCCUUGAGAUCACAUGCUCAGUGUGGAGUGAGCGUCAUUUUAAAGCAAGCUUUGGAUCCAAAGGACGGAGCAGAGAGGUAUAAUAAAAUCGAGGAGCUCACCGCAGACAGAAGGCCAGGAACAUUUGCUCACAGCUGAAAGUAAUAGAAAGCCCAACGAGAAGAACUGAAGCGAUUCAUUUAACAAAAAUGCAUUGAUCACAAUACUGUAUACAUCAAGCACAGUUGUAGACACGGGGGACGCUGAGUAAACAAAAUCUCCUGCUCUCAGGAAAUUUGUGUUUUUAUGGGAGAGGAAGAUAAUAAUCCUCUCAUUUGGGUUUCCCUGAUGGCUCAGAUGGUAAAGAAUCCACCUGCAAGACAGGAGACCCGGAUUCGAUCCCUGGGUCAGGAAGAUCCCCUGGAGAAGAAAAUCUCAACCCACUCUAGCAUUCUUGCCUGAAAAAUCUCGUGGACAGAGGAUCCUGGUGGUCUACAGUCUAUGGGGUCGCCAAGACUGAGUGACCAACACUUCACUUCAUGAUAUUUCAUAUCGUAAUGAGGACUCUGGAGAACACAGUUUGGGAAGAGAAGUGGGGAUGCUGCCAGAGGGGUGCCCUUUCUAAAAAAUUGCAUUUAUAUUUCAUAUUUAUUAUUCAUUUGGCCAUGCAGGGUCUUAGUGGUGGCGCACAGGAUCUUCAGUCUUCUUUGGAGCACGCAGGUUCUUUUCGUUGCAGCAUGUUCACUCAUAGUUGCAGUAUUUGGGAUCUAGUUCCCUGACUAGGGAACCCAGGCCCCCUGCACUGGGAGCUCGGAGUCUUAGCCACUGAACCACCGGGGAAGUUCUGGGGUGCACUUUUAUGCAGGGAGGAUUUAGAGUGUCAUCUGAAUGAAGACCUG